UACUCCCCGGAGGGCAAGGGGGGAACCCGAGGGCGACCGGAAGCGUGGCGAGAUCCAAAAAACCGUAGAACUGAGGGAAGGGAGGCAAACGCUCAGGCACCGGGAGGCGAUUCCCGCCUCUCCCCAGGUGCUGUCCGGCGGCCUCAGGGCUCAACAAACAGGAACGCACGGGCGCGUUUUCGCGGCUUCGAACCUCAAUCUAAAUCCCUGGUUUCGCUCCAAUGCCAAACGCAGGCCGAGCUACUCACGCCACCCAGCCCGGGCCCGCGGGUCUCGAGCCGAAUCCAGCCUGGGACUGAGGGGAGAUACCAGGCCUCUCAACCUGCGCACCACAGUGCGUCGGCGGCGGGGCCUACAGCCGUGACCAGAGCGCGGACCCCCAUUCCAGGCUCCUCCGGCUGGCCAGAAGCGCCCGUAGGCUCCAGAUGACAGCUAUAAACUCACUGACUUACGAAGUCCUCUAAGAAAUUACCUUCGAACUGGCCUUCUGAGAUCCGCCUGGCGUUUUGUCCGCCAUCUUGAGCUUUGCCCCUCCUUCGGCGGCCGCAGCAGCACGGGCGAGUCGAGCGCCGAGAGAGCGGAUCUCGGCGGAGCCCGCCAGAGGCGCCUGCAAGACUGAGGAGUCGACUGCCGAGAUAGGGAAUGCGGGCGGAGCUGUGCCACGUGACUUCCGGUGUCAGCAAUUUCCCCGGCCCAGACCGCUUUGCGCGAUUUCCUGGGUGUUCCCGGGGCUCCGCCUUUCGUGCGGUUCUGGGAUUUUGGAGCGUCUCCUCGUGCUGACCUUCAGGACCGGCUGAGGUUUCACUUGUUUCCCGGCGCCAGCCCCCGAUAGGCGCGAGCCAGUUGAAUUUCCUGGAACGGUGCCUGGAAAGUGGAGAAAAAGGAGCGUUUGACCCAACCUGAGAAUCCAGCAGUGGAGUUUCCGAUGGACUGUUCGGGGAUCUGCAAAAUGGGUACCUGCAGGGACGGAGAAUGAGAGAAAAUCAUAAAUAGACGGCUUCUUCUCCCACCCUCAUCCUGGUCUCCUAAUUGAAAGAUAAUCAAUUGCAUGCUCUUCCUGAAGAUGUCACUUCCUCCAGAAAGCCUUACAGACCUCCCUCCCUGCCACCAAGUCUGCCUAAGAUAGAGACUCUGCUUCUGUUUCCAUAGGAACCUAAUAGGUUCCCACUCAAAAUGCUCAUCAAACUAGACCUUAAUUGUUUACAAUCUAGGGUUAGAAAGUGAAAUCAUCAGCUGAGAUGAAGGAAGGAGUGGGACUGGCUGUGCCUAGCCAUGUUCCAGCAGUGCUGCAGGCUGAUUGUGUCUAUAAAGUGAAUAAAUGCAUGCUAUUCAUUCAAAUCCCCAAAGUUCUACUUCUCAGAGAGAUAAUUUUUGCCAAAUGAUUUCCCCUAAAGAGUUAGAAAUAAAGGAACACAGACUUCUUCCUUCUCUUCUUUUUCAUACAGUGAAGUCCCAAAGGAAGCCAGACAAAUGUGACUUGACAAGAAGGAAUACAUAGGUCUUUAUUAAGGCCUAACUAAAUACACUUUUAAAAACUCACAAUCAUGAUUAUGAGCAAAGUUUUCCUCAACACAUAUGUGUCACAAAAUCUUGGCCCUAUUACUCAAACCACAAAUUAAGGAGGAUGACGUAGCAUGAAUCUUACGAAUGGAAUAUUACAGAAUCUGAAACUUUUAGAUUCAAAAUUACUAUUGACAAGGGACUACACCUAAAUAGUAAGAAAAUCCUACAAUUUACUACAGUUAGUAUUACUUUUUUACAGUCACACUAAAACCAGGCUCUUUGUCUCCUAAUAAUGUUGGUUCUCUAGUCCCUGUCAUCUGUUUAAAAGGGCUUUCCCUGCAGCUAUGUUCAACAGAGAUUGCAAGUCGUGACAGAUGCAGUCCACAGAGGUGUUUUAUUUGCUUCACCCAAGGAGGUUUUUGUUCUUUGAAAUUUCAGCUGGCACUUUAAAACUGGUAGAUUUUAUGUUUUUAUACUUAAGUUUUCCAGUGUUCCUUGAAAAAAUAGGAAAGCACUAAGGAGGGCACUUGAUGGGAUGAACUGGGUGUUAUACUGUAUGUUGGCAAAUUGAAUUUAAAUUUAAAAAAUAAAAUAAAACCAUGAAAAAAAUAUUUUUUUUAAAAAAAGGGAAGUCUAACAAUCAGUGGAGGUGAGCCAUAGCAACCUCUUGGUUCACCAGAGGACAAAUGCCCCACAUCUGGCCUGCUUGAAGGCAUUUGAGUUUUCUACUUCUCAUGUACAAUUUAAGUCUUACUAGUGAUGAUGAACAUAAUAUUCAAUAAUCGGUCUCCCAGCACCAAUGAGAACCACUUACCCAUUAGGCACAAAGGCUCAGUGCCUAGGACCCACAAAGCUUUUAGGGACCUCCCAAAUGUUAAAUUUCUUUUGAAAUAGGGGGAUAAAAGGUGGAUUGGAGAGGCUGAAACAAAAGUAUCAUUUAACAGUACAUACAAUGAAAGAGACCUUACAAAGGAUUGCCCCAAAGCCAAAGUCUCCUGUGGUGCGCCAAUAGACUGUUUCUACUUGGUGGUGCUUUCAUUCUACAGAAUUUCUUAAGCAGCCUCUCCCUGCUCUCUAGACUUCAAGAUAGAGGCUGGUGAAAGCAUAAUCUCAUCCAUUUGUUUAUUUGGCAGUUACUGAAUUUCUAGCAUAUGCCAGUGAUGAAGGAUAGUUGGAAGGCAGGCAGACAGGGAGGAAACCACCCUCCAGGAUUUUACACCUGGAAGGAGCCCUCCAUCCUUUCCCAUGUGAUAGAGAGAUGGCAAAAACCUUAUUGGAUGACAGACACAGGGAGGGUUAAUCCCAUUAAAACCGUCCACCAAAAAAAAAAAGAAAAAAAAAAAGAAAAAAAAAAAAAAAAACCGUCCACCAACAAGCCCACAGAAACCCCUAGACUUAGGAACUCCAGUGGCAACCCUCGAAGUACCCCCGCUCCGGGACUUUGUACUAUCACUUUGCUGUCACUCAAUAAACCUUGCUUUUCUGGCCACCACUCUGGUCUACCUCUUCAUUCUUCGAAGUGGUAUGACCAAGAACUGUGGGCACUGACAGAGAAAAAAAUCCUAUAACAUUUACGGGGGCUCAUCCCAGGAUCUCCACCAUUAAGGACAACUAACCGUGAGUAGUGGGCAACAGGUAUCUCUGUCUCCCCCCCCACCUCCAUUUUGUUUGUUGAAACAGUGGGCACCCAUCAGCCAUGUAAGAGCAAUUAGCGCAACUGCCAUUCUGAAGUCUCCGGUGACAGGCUCUCUGGGCUCCUUUCCGACUGAUCCCCAACAGAAUUUGGGAAUGUUGAUUUGGUAAGGAUUCAGAACUCCUUUCAGGGUACACCAGAUGUAAGGAAUAUAGAAAAAAACGAGCAGCAAUUGAGGGACCUAACGAAGGUUACCCUUUGGAUACCCAACGGCUCUCUUUCCUUACUUGACCAUCCAGGCAUCCAAAGAGAAGCCCCUCUACUAUUUUCUCAUCUGAUUCUUCCCCUAUGAGAACAAGUAGGAAAAACCAGGACAAUCCCCCAGACAUUCUCUUGUGAGUGGUUAGAGUGGCCUCCAAGGGAUCUUAAUCACAGUGACAUGAGAAACUGUCUCCUGUUUGUGACCCCUCCUAUCUUGGGCAGUACUAGGACACCCCUCAGACUGGCUACAACACCUAUAUGAGGAAUGGCCAGGUAGGGCAAAAGAACUAAGAUCUAAGGGAUCUCCCAACUUUGUGGUUCCAUCAGGGCUUAUCCCAGCUGGAUUUCCCCUCCCUGGGUGUCCCAUCUUGUCCCUCCAUGUGGCUAUACAAGACAACAAUUCUACUAAAAUCUGAUUAGGUGGCUAUGCCCAACAGAACAACUCUACUAAAAAAAAGUCUAGUUUGUCCAUUGACUUCUAAGGGAGUCUUAUGAGUGGGGGAAACCAGUCAUUCUCUGGAGGUAGGGCCAAGCCUGGGUAAACAAGACUACUCCCAGCACCCCCACAAAGAGGACAGGGGCUCUGGCCUCAGUUGUGUGAGUAGCUAGGGCCACACAUCAGGUAAAGAUGAGGAACUGAGGUGGAAGUUCUAUUCUUGUAGAUGGGUAAUUCCUUGACAAGAACCUUACUCCUUUAGAGUCCCUUUCCUGACAUAGGCUAUAGGAAGUGAGAUCCAUAUAAUGAGAUCCAGGGAUCCCUGGGUGGCGCAGCGGUUUGGCGCCUGCCUUUGGCCCAGGGCGCGAUCCUGGAGACCCGGGAUCGAAUCCCACGUUGG